GACGAACGCUGGCGGCGUGCUUAACACAUGCAAGUCGAACGGAAAGGUCCUGCUUGCAGGGUACUCGAGUGGCGAACGGGUGAGUAACACGUGGGUGAUCUGCCCUGCACUUCGGGAUAAGCCUGGGAAACUGGGUCUAAUACCGGAUAGGAGCCAUUUUUAGUGUGAUGGUUGGAAAGUUUUUUCGGUGUAGGGUGAGCUCGCGGCCUAUCAGCUUGUUGGUGGGGUAAUGGCCUACCAAGGCGGCGACGGGUAGCCGGCCUGAGAGGGUGGACGGCCACAUUGGGACUGAGAUACGGCCCAGACUCCUACGGGAGGCAGCAGUGGGGAAUAUUGCACAAUGGGCGCAAGCCUGAUGCAGCGACGCCGCGUGGGGGAUGACGGCCUUCGGGUUGUAAACUCCUUUCGCUAGGGACGAAGCUUUUUGUGACGGUACCUAGAGAAGAAGCACCGGCUAACUACGUG
rnacentral:rRNA from 1 species